UUUGAAAUGAAUUCUGUUAGAUGGGCUGUUUAAUUGGGGCGAUGACCUUCUUUAAUCGAACGUUAGGUGAACAAAGCUAUUGAUGUGGGCUUUGAUCAAGGACUAGUAAGUGCAAAGAUAGAUGUCUGGCUUAAUGGUGAAGCUUUGUUUGAUCCAGUAUUUAAAUGGUGUCUUAGUGACCUUAAAAUUAAUUUAUCAGAUAAAAGUUACUCAAGGGAUAACAGGCUUAAUAGGCAUUAUAGCUCACAUUAAAUGAAUGGUUUCGCACCUCGAUGUCGGCUUAUCUUUUCCAAGGUCUGUAUAAGGUCGCCUCUAUCGGAGUGCUCAUCCCCUCGCAGGUACGUGAGCUGGGUUAAGAACGAUGUAAAUCAGUUUGGUCUAUAUCUUUUUCCGCGCGAUCUAUCAUCACAUCUACCUCUUCUUUGGUCAGUACGGAAGGACCAG
rnacentral:rRNA from 1 species